AACGCACCUUGCGCCUCUUGGUAUUCCGAGGGGCACGCCCGUUUGAGUGUCGUGAAAUUCUCAACCCUCUUGGUUUUCUUUUGAAGGCUUAAGAGGGCUUGGACUUGGAGGUUCUUGCUGGCAGCACUUUGCGAUCAGCUCCUCUUAAAUGCAUUAGCGAGGUUCUCUUUGCUGACCUUUGGCGUGAUAAGUAUCUACGUCUUUGGUGUGGCUCUGCUGUUAGAACCUGCUUCUAAUUGUCUCUUUGCUGAGACAACUUGAGUCCUCUUUAUUGAGGCUCUAACUCACACCCUUGACCUCAAAUCGGGCGGGACUACCCGCUGAACUUAA
rnacentral:rRNA from 1 species